rnacentral:lncRNA from 1 species
AGUGAUCCAAAUUCAAUGGCGAGACAAAAGACAAGGAUGACUACAGAUGGCCUGGGAUGCAGUGGAUGACCUUGGCCUCUUUGAUGUCUGAACAAACUCCAAUCUCUCCGCAGUGCCUACUUAUGUUGCUUUCAUGGCUAUUGGAACAAAUUGUUCUUAUUUGCCAAUUCUACAAGGGGAAGUCUUCAUAUAAUUGGGGCAGAAGUCCCCUUAACUCACCAAGAGGUUUGAGAAUUCACUUGUCUGUGUUCUGAAAACCAAGAUGAAGGUCAGUCACCAGAGACAUAUAUGAGAUAUAUGAGCUCUCCUCAUCUCCAGGAAGUCCUCAGUGGUCCCUUUCCAGAGACAGAGGGAAGAAUCCAAGUUUCUAGUUCAAAGAGAAUCAAAGUCAUCAAAGUUCAGUGGCAAGAAAAAAGUCAAGACUACUGAUGAUGGCCAGGAGGCAGUGGAUGACCUUGGCAUCUUUGAUGUCUGACGAAGCUCUAAGCUUUCUCCAAUGUCUAUUUCAGCUACCUUCAUGGCCACUGGCACGCAUUGUUUUCAUUUAUCCAUUCUGCCAGGGGAAGUCUUCAUGCGCUUGUGGUAGACUUUCCACCAACUCACUGACGGAUUUGAGAGCUGCUGGCUUCCCUCAACUUCGUUUAGUCCAUCCACUGAGAUGGUUUUACUGGGGAGGAAAUGCUGAUUCUACUGCCUGCUGCAAAAUACACAUGAUGUUCUCCUUUGACUGCUUCCUGAUACCCCAGCUGCUGGCUGCAAACCUCUGCAGCCUGCUUGCCGUUUUCUAUGCAUGCUUGCCGUACCAAGUUCUCCAGAAGGUAUAUAAGUGCUCCAAAUUCUGUUGUCCUCGGAGGAGAAUCUCGCGCGGUUGUCCUCUCAGAGAUACUGGUGGCUGCCGAUUGGUGGACACUAACUCUUUCCUGAUUAAAGACAUGUCUUUUUCUGACCAUUUUAAUAGUUCUGUUUUUUUCCGCGUUGUCAGGGGUAAGUGGAGAGAGGGAAACGCCAGUUACUAAGACAAGGAAGGGUGCCUAGGCUGAGACGCUAACUUGUGUGGAAACCCAGCAUUCCUUCUGGACAACAACCAUCAGGUCCCAGCCAGGAAAGCGCUUGGAGUCCACCCUGUUUCCAAGUUUCUAAGUGCCCUGGAGGGUGUGCAAAUAGAAAUGGGAUACACCUGAACUACAUUUGCCCAGCAUCCUUUUAAGUUACGUCCUCACUUUGCAUCCUGACAUUUGGGAGAGAAAGUUUGCUGAAACCCACGCUGCGGAGCUUUCUGGGUUUUUGCUUUGGUAAAGCGCUGCAGGUGAGAGUCUGGCUCUGUGCUCUACUCACUCGGCAGAAGGAACACCGUUCUCUCUCUCUCUUUGUUGUUAUUAAAUCCUAUA